AACGCGAAGAACCUUACCUGGGCUUGAACCGCACAGGACCAGCUUCAGAAAUGAGGCCUUCCCGCAAUGGACCUGUAUAUAGGUGCUGCAUGGCUGUCGUCAGCUCGUGUCGUGAGAUGUUGGGUUAAGUCCCGCAACGAGCGCAACCCUUAUUACCAGUUGCUACCAUUUAGUUGAGCACUCUGGUGAGACCGCCUCGGAUAACGGGGAGGAAGGCGGGGAUGACGUCAAGUCCUCAUGGCCUUUAUGUCCAGGGCUACACACGUGCUACAAUGGCCGGUACAAACCGUCGCAAACCCGUGAGGGGGAGCUAAUCGGAAAAAGCCGGCCUCAGUUCGGAUUGGAGUCUGCAACUCGACUCCAUGAAGCUGGAAUCGCUAGUAAUCGCGGAUCAGAAUGCCGCGGUGAAUACGUUCCCGGGCCUUGUACACACCGACAUA
rnacentral:rRNA from 1 species